rnacentral:rRNA from 1 species
GGAAUAUUGGGCAAUGGAGGAAACUCUGACCCAGCAACGCCGCGUGAAGGAUGAAGGUUUUCGGAUUGUAAACUUCUGUCGCGAGGGAUGAAGAAUGACGGUACCUCGUAAGAAAGCCCCGGCAAACUACGUGCCAGCAGCCGCGGUAAUACGUAGGGGGCGAGCGUUGUCCGGAAUGACUGGGCGUAAAGGGAGUGUAGGCGGCAUAUUAAGUUAUGUGUGAAAGCCCGCGGCUCAACCGCGGAAUUGCACAUAAAACUGGUAAGCUGGAGUGCAGGAGAGGUAAGUGGAAUUCCCGGUGUAGCGGUGGAAUGCGUAGAUAUCGGGAGGAACACCAGAGGCGAAGGCGACUUACUGGACUGUAACUGACGCUGAGGCUCGAAAGCGUGGGGAGCAAACAGG